GAGCACGUAGGUGGGUUUGUAAGUCAGACGUGAAAGCCUUCUGUUCAACGGAAGAAUUGCAUCUGAAACUACAAACCUUGAGUGUAGGAGGGGAGAAUGGAACUUCUGGUGGAGCGGUGAAAUGCGUAGAUAUCAGAAGGAACGCCGGCGGCGAAAGCGAUUCUCUGGCCUAUUACUGACACUCAGUGUGCGAAAGCUAGGGGAGCAAACGGGAUUAGAUACCCCGGUAGUCCUAGCCGUAAACGAUGGGCACUAAGUAGAGGGGU
rnacentral:rRNA from 1 species